rnacentral:rRNA from 1 species
UGGGGAAUUUUCCGCAAUGGGCGAAAGCCUGACGGAGCAAUACCGCGUGAGGGAGGAAUGCCUUUGGGUUGUAAACCUCUUUUCUCAGGGAAGAAGAUCUGACGGUACCUGAGGAAUAAGUAUCGGCUAACUCCGUGCCAGCAGCCGCGGUAAUACGGAGGAUGCAAGCGUUAUCCGGAAUCAUUGGGCGUAAAGCGUCCGCAGGUGGUUUCCAAAGUCUGCUGUUAAAGACUGGAGCUCAACUCCGGAACGGCGGUGGAAACUUGGAAACUAGAGUUCGGUAGGGGUAGCAGGAAUUCCCAGUGUAGCGGUGAAAUGCGUAGAUAUUGGGAAGAACAUCGGUGGCGAAGGCGUGCUACUGGACCGUAACUGACACUCAGGGACGAAAGCUAGGGGAGCGAAAGGGAUUAGAUACCACUGUAGUCCUAGCUGUAAACGAUGGAAACUAGGUGUGGCUUGA